GAUGAACGCUAGCGGCAGGCUUAACACAUGCAAGUCGAGGGGUAGAGGAAGCUUGCUUCCUUGAGACCGGCGCACGGGUGCGUAACGCGUAUACAAUCUACCUUUUACAGAGGGAUAGCCCCAGAGAAAUUUGGAUUAAUACCUCAUAGUAUUUUCGGAUCGCAUGAUUUGAUUAUUAAAGUUCCAACGGUAAAGAUGAGUAUGCGUCCCAUUAGCUAGAUGGUAAGGUAACGGCUUACCAUGGCAAUGAUGGGUAGGGGUCCUGAGAGGGAGAUCCCCCACACUGGUACUGAGACACGGACCAGACUCCUACGGGAGGCAGCAGUGAGGAAUAUUGGACAAUGGGCGCAAGCCUGAUCCAGCCAUGCCGCGUGCAGGAAUAAGGUCCUAUGGAUUGUAAACUGCUUUUAUACAGGAAGAAACACACCCUCGU
rnacentral:rRNA from 1 species